GUGAGGGAACGUUUCUGACGCUAGGUCAAGGGCGGUGUUCCUGUGUUCUUAGGGCCCCAGGAGGCGAGUCUGAGUGGAACCUGGCUGGGGUAGGCUGAAAGGUGACUUCGACGCUCUUCUGAGGCCUCAGACGUGUGUGAUGACUGCCCUGUAGAAUCAGUGCUGUGACCCCGAGUAACAACGCGCGCUUGAGUUGGUAUAAACUCCUGAAGAGUGUAGUCCUGCAAUUUACAAGAAAAAGUUAAGUGUAAAAUAGCCUCAGGCAUGUCCUUCAGGAGGGAUUCCAGAGGCAUUGUUAUAGACGAUGACAGCUCUGUGUGUGUUAUUGCCACUGAAGACCUUCCAUGGGACGCGAUGUGGAGCUGGAAGUCAGUGAUAUUGAUGAUCCUGACACAGUCCUAGGAUAAGGCCCAUGCUAUAUGAGCUUGACUUCUGGAAGGCUGGAGACUGAGUAAAUUCAGGAGUUAAGUUCAGUCACCCAGGCACCAUGGACACCAGCAUUCAGACGAGAUUACCUGUUUGGCACUACUUUGCACAUGCUGGCACACACCAUGGUGGGAAGAAUUAAGUGCUGUUGCCAUGCAAUUCUAAUGGAAGGGGAAAACUGGAAGCUUGUGCCUCGUCUCUCCUGGACUUUGUCCAGUGCCUUCUCCCAUUGUUCAUUGUUGCCUGCAUCCUUCGCCUUGAGUUUGAGUAUGGCAGCUCUUCUGGAUCCCAGGAGUCCUUCCAGCAAAUCAUUGAGCCUGAGUGGUCCUGGAGACCAGUGGCACACCUUUGUUCAAGAUAAUGGUUCACUUCUCAAUCAAUAAAAAUGUACUUGUAGACGCA
rnacentral:lncRNA from 1 species